GCCAUCUUAGCUCAGCGGUAGAGCAACGCUUUUGUAAAGCGAAGGUCCUGGGUUCAAAUCCCAGAGAUGGCU
rnacentral:tRNA from 1 species